CUACAGAUUCUUCUUCAGUGUUAUGCUUCUGUAUUUUGUCCCUUGAAUGAGAUGAGUACCGUACCCUUUGUUUUGCUCAGAAAGGAGGAACCAUGUAUUUGGUCAGCACUCAACAAAUAAUAAGUCAUGAUGACAAGUACUGAAUCCAAUUUGAAACUGUAGGGGGAUAUUUAAGUGGCCCCAAAUGUCUGCGUUCUAGGAGUUAAUUCCAUUUGUGGGAGAGUUGCAAUUCCAGAUUUUUAUGUUCACAAAAUAAUUCAAAUUAUUGUCUUCUAUUUUUAACUUCUGGAUGGGCCGAAGAGAUUUUCACACGGAAGAUUACAGCCAUGGCUUUCACCAAGCUGAAAAACAAGCUUUAAUGUGAUGAUCCACACAAGACCAAACCUGAUGAGAAAAUGUAGGGUGUUGCUAUGGCAAUUCCAUUCGUUGGAACUUUUCUCUGUUGGCUUCACUCUGUCAUUACAUUCUAAAAAGAAUCGUAUGAAAAGGUGUGGUGGCUGUGAAGACAAACGUGAGGCCGAGAAGAUGGAGCUUUCUCAUCUGUCCUUCCCCAAAAGAGACAAUAUCGUCACAUUAGUUACAAAGGUGGAGAAGACAUAAUCUUGAGAUUCCAGAAGCUUAUCUCGUGGAGGAGGUAACACAUAACCAAAUACCUAUGGACACAGUAGAUGGUAAAUGAGCUCUGAGUGAUAGCAGAGUCUUAAAAAAGGAAUCUCUCAUCUGGCUUCAUACAAAGUGUGGAAUCACUACUGAGGUUCUGAAAAAUGCAUGAUUUUAACAAUACAUUUCUUUCAGAAAGUGUUCCUGGUACUGAUCUGAUUUUCCAAGGAAUCUAUGACUCAAAACUAGAUCAGGAUGCCUGCUUUCAAGUUCAUCAGAUUUCUGGUUGCUCAGUCAUCAAGGUCCUGUUAAGGUGUCAGGGACGUCACUUACCACUUAUGAAUGCAAACCAACUGAUUGUGUUCCUUAUCUGCUGAGUAGUACUUACAAGAGGGGUAGAUUUUGAGACUGAUUUCCCUGAGAAAGUUGAUACUUUCAUAGAAAUUGAAUAAAUUCCAUUCAUCUACAGUGUAAAGUUGGUUUCUACUCAUUACUAAAAUUCCCAUGGAAAACAAAAGGAGGAAUGGAUGGUGAAGUCACAGGUACCUUUUACUUUCUCUUAAUUGUACAUUUGCCCUACAAAGACCUUUAUUAGUAAUCUGUUCUUCAGGAUUUAUCACAAAAUCUCCUGCUUCUGUAGGUAGGGGAUUUUCUCAAUUCCUGGACUAUUUAUGUGAUA